rnacentral:rRNA from 1 species
GAUGAACGCUAGCUACAGGCUUAACACAUGCAAGUCGAGGGGCAGCAUGAACUUAGCUUGCUAAGUUUGAUGGCGACCGGCGCACGGGUGAGUAACACGUAUCCAACCUGACGAUGACUCGGGGAUAGCCUUUCGAAAGAAAGAUUAAUACCCGAUGGCAUAGUUCUUCCGCAUGGUAGAACUAUUAAAGAAUUUCGGUCAUCGAUGGGGAUGCGUUCCAUUAGGUUGUUGGCGGGGUAACGGCCCACCAAGCCUUCGAUGGAUAGGGGUUCUGAGAGGAAGGUCCCCCACAUUGGAACUGAGACACGGUCCAAACUCCUACGGGAGGCAGCAGUGAGGAAUAUUGGUCAAUGGACGAGAGUCUGAACCAGCCAAGUAGCGUGAAGGAUGACUGCCCUAUGGGUUGUAAACUUCUUUUAUACGGGAAUAAAGUGAGGCACGUGUGCCUUUUUGUAUGUACCGUAUGAAUAAGGAUCGGCUAACUCCGUG